AGAGUUUGAUCAUGGCUCAGGAUGAACGCUAGCUACAGGCUUAACACAUGCAAGUCGAGGGGAAACGACAUCGAAAGCUUGCUUUUGAUGGGCGUCGACCGGCGCACGGGUGAGUAACGCGUAUCCAACCUGCCCACCACUUGGGGAUAACCUUGCGAAAGUAAGACUAAUACCCAAUGACGUCUCUAGAAGACAUCUGAAAGAGAUUAAAGAUUUAUCGGUGAUGGGAUGGGGAUGCGUCUGAUUAGCUUGGUUGGGCGGGGUAACGGCCACCAAGGCUACGAUCGAGUAGGGGUUCUGAGAGGAACGGUCCCCANAUUGGAACUGAGACACGGUCCAAACUCCGUACGGAGGCA
rnacentral:rRNA from 1 species